rnacentral:snRNA from 1 species
AAGACUAUACUUUCAGGGAUCAUUUUUAUAGUUUGUUACUAGAGAA